UGGGGAAUUUUNCGCAAUGGGCGAAAGCCUGACGGAGCAAUACCGCGUGAGGGAGGAAGAUUUUUGGAUUGUAAACCUCUUUUUUAAAGGAAGAAGAAAGUGACGGUACUUUAAGAAUCAGCAUCGGCUAACUCCGUGCCAGCAGCCGCGGUAAUACGGAGGAUGCAAGCGUUAUCCGGAAUCAUUGGGCGUAAAGCGUCCGCAGGUGGCUGUUCAAGUCUGCUGUUAAAGACAGAAGCUCAACUUCUGAGCAGCAGUGGAAACUGGGCAGCUAGAGUACGGUAGGGGUUGAGGGAAUUCCCAGUGUAGCGGUGAAAUGCGUAGAUAUUGGGAAGAACACCAGUGGCGAAGGCGCUCAACUGGGCCGUAACUGACACUCAGGGACGAAAGCUAGGGUAGCGAAAGGGAUUAGAUACCCCUGUAGUCA
rnacentral:rRNA from 1 species